rnacentral:rRNA from 1 species
UACAGAGGGGGCAAGCGUUGUCCGGAAUCAUUGGGCGUAAAGCGCGUGUAGGCGGCCCAGUAAGUCCGCUCUGAAAGCCCGGGGCUCAACCCCGGGAGGCGGGUGGAUACUGCUGGGCUCGAGUCCGGAAGAGGCGAGUGGAAUUCCUGGUGUAGCGGUGAAAUGCGUUGAUAUCAUCAGGAACACCGGUGGCGAAGGCGGCUCUCUGGAUCUUUUCUGACGCUGAGGCACGAAAGCUAGGGGAGCAAACGGG